UACGGGGGGGGCAAGCGUUGUUCGGAAUUACUGGGCGUAAAGGGCUCGUAGGCGGCCAACUAAGUCAGACGUGAAAUCCCUCGGCUUAACCGGGGAACUGCGUCCGAUACUGGUUGGCUUGAAUCCGGGAGAGGGAUGUGGAAUUCCAGGUGUAGCGGUGAAAUGCGUAGAUAUCUGGAGGAACACCGGUGGCGAAGGCGGCAUCCUGGACCGGUAUUGACGCUGAGGAGCGAAAGCCAGGGGAGCAAACGGG
rnacentral:rRNA from 1 species